CCUACGGGAGGCAGCAGUGAGGAAUAUUGGUCAAUGGGCGCGAGCCUGAACCAGCCAAGUCGCGUGAGGGAUGAAGGUUCUAUGGAUCGUAAACCUCUUUUAUAAGGGAAUAAAGUGUGGGACGUGUCCUGUUUUGUAUGUACCUUAUGAAUAAGGAUCGGCUAACUCCGUGCCAGCAGCCGCGGUAAUACGGAGGAUCCGAGCGUUAUCCGGAUUUAUUGGGUUUAAGGGGUGCGUAGGCGGCCUUUUAAGUCAGCGGUGAAAGUCUGUGGCUCAACCAUAGAAUUGCCGUUGAAACUGGGAGGCUUGAGUAUGUUUGAGGCAGGCGGAAUGCGUGGUGUAGCGGUGAAAUGCUUAGAUAUCACGCAGAACCCCGAUUGCGAAGGCAGCCUGCCAAGCCAUGACUGACGCUGAUGCACGAAAGCGUGGGGAUCAAACAGGAUUAGAUACCCGUGUAGUC
rnacentral:rRNA from 1 species